UGGGGAAUUUUGCACAAUGGGGGAAACCCUGAUGCAGCGACGCCGCGUGAUUUAGAAGGCCUUCGGGUUGUAAAAAUCUUUUGUAUGGGAAGAAAAUGACAGUACCAUACGAAUAAGGACCGGCUAAUUACGUGCCAGCAGGCGCGGUAAUACGUAAGGUCCGAGCGUUGUCCGGAAUCAUUGGGCGUAAAGGGUACGUAGGCGGAUAAGCAAGUUAGAAGUGAAAUCCUAUAGCUCAACUAUAGUAAGCUUUUAAAACUGCUCAUCUUGAGGUAUGGAAGGGAAAGUGGAAUUCCUAGUGUAGCGGUGAAAUCCGCAGAUAUUAGGAGGAAUACCGGUGGCAAAGGCGACUUUCUGGCUAUACACUGACGCUGAGGUACGAAAGCGUGGGUAGCAAACAGG
rnacentral:rRNA from 1 species